AAUAAUCUGCCACCGGGUAGUUGAAUGUAGAAAGCAUUUGUAAGCAUAUCGUUAGGUCUUAGAAGAUAUGUUUACGGGUGCUUUUUUGGA
rnacentral:ncRNA from 1 species